AAAACCGUCGAUCCGAAGCUUCAUCAACACCUCGAGGAGCUCGAUGGCGGGGAGUAUUUAUUUGCAUUUCAAAUGCUGAUGGUAGUUUUCCGAAGAGGGUUCUCCUUCGUCGAUUCGUUGUAUCUUUGGGUGGUAAUGUGGGCAAUGGAGUACAACCCUAAUAUUUUCUUGACAUAGGAGACGGCCGAUUCAUCCUCCGAU